rnacentral:misc_RNA from 1 species
GAUGAAGAACGUAGCGAAAUGCGAUACGUAAUGUGAAUUGCAAAAUUCAGUGAAUCAUCGAAUCUUUGAACGCACAUUGCGCCCGCCAGCACUCUGGCGGGCAUGCCUGUUCGAGCGUCAUUUCAACCAUCAAGCCCCAGGCUUGCGUUGGAGCCCUGCGGCUGCCGCAGCCUCCUAAAAGCAGUGGCGGGCUCGCUAUCACACCGAGUGCAGUAGAUUACUCUUCGCUCAGGGCGUGCAGCGGGUUCCGGCCGUGAAACCCCCUACUUUUAAAGGUUGACCUCGGAUCAGGUAGGAAUACCCGCUGAACUUAAGCAUAUCAAUAAGCGGAGGA